AUCGUUGUUGUCAAUGAUGUAGUCAUGUUGGAACUGAAUCUUAAGUGAUCUGACAUAUAUUCGUCACUACCACUGAGACAGCAAUGUA
ensembl:snoRNA